ensembl:misc_RNA Y_RNA Y RNA
AAUUGGUCUGAGAGUUGUUGUUUAUUGUUAAGCUGUUUAACAUUGUCUCCCAUCCACAACUGCCUUUGACUGACUUGUG